rnacentral:rRNA from 1 species
UACAGAGGGUGCGAGCGUUAAUCGGAAUUACUGGGCGUAAAGCGUGCGUAGACGGUUAUCUAAGUCGGAUGUGAAAGCCCCGGGCUCAACCUGGGAAUUGCAUUCGAGACUGAAUAGCUAGGGUGCGGUAGAGGGAAGCGGAAUUUCCGGUGUAGCGGUGAAAUGCGUAGAUAUCGGAAGGAACAUCAGUGGCGAAGGCGGCUUGCCAGAAUGCGCUCGACGGUGAGGGAUGAAAGCUGGGGGAGCAAACCGG